rnacentral:rRNA from 1 species
UACGUAGGGUGCAAGCGUUAAUCGGAAUUACUGGGCGUAAAGAGCUCGUAGGCGGUUUGUCGCGUCUGCCGUGAAAGUCCGGGGCUUAACUCCGGAUCUGCGGUGGGUACGGGCAGACUUGAGUGAUGUAGGGGAGACUGGAAUUCCUGGUGUAGCGGUGAAAUGCGCAGAUAUCAGGAGGAACACCGAUGGCGAAGGCAGGUCUCUGGGCAUUAACUGACGCUGAGGAGCGAAAGCAUGGGGAGCGAACAGG